UAUUAAAAAAUUCAUCCCUUUAUACUAUUAAAGCAGGCAUGAUUGAUAGAAUAACCAGAUAGUGACACUUGGUGUGCCACGUAUAUCUCAUGCUGAAGUAUAGGGACCAGCUCUUAACAGUAGAAAUAGAUGUAACUUUUAAUA
rfam:Gossypium raimondii Chr02_contig_19, whole genome shotgun sequence.